GACGAACGCUGGCGGCGUGCUUAACACAUGCAAGUCGAACGGAAAGGCCCUGCUUUUGUGGGGUGCUCGAGUGGCGAACGGGUGAGUAACACGUGAGUAACCUGCCCUUGACUUUGGGAUAACUUCAGGAGACUGGGGCUAAUACCGGAUAGGAGCUCCUGCUGCAUGGUGGGGGUUGGAAAGUUUCGGCGGUUGGGGAUGGACUCGCGGCUUAUCAGCUUGUUGGUGGGGUAGUGGCUUACCAAGGCUUUGACGGGUAGCCGGCCUGAGAGGGUGACCGGCCACAUUGGGACUGAGAUACGGCCCAGACGCCUACGGGAGGAAGCAGUGGGGAAUAUUGCACAAUGGGCGGAAGCCUGAUGCAGCAACGCCGCGUGCGGGAUGACGGCCUUCGGGUUGUAAACCGCUUUCGCCUGUGACGAAGCGUGAGUGACGGUAAUGGGUAAAGAAGCACCGGCUAACUACGUG
rnacentral:rRNA from 1 species